GACAGAGGUGCCGAGCGUUAGGCGGAAUCACUGGGCUUAAAGCGUGUGUAGGCGGGUCGUUAAGUGUCUUGUGAAAUCCCACCGCUCAACGGUGGAACUGCUGGGCAUACUGGCGAUCUUGAGCCACCUAGGGGCAGACGGAACAAGCGGUGGAGCGGUGAAAUGCGUAGAUAUCGCUUGGAACGCCGACGGUGAAAACAGUCUGCUGGGGGUGUGCUGACGCUGAGACACGAAAGCCAGGGGAGCAAACGGG
rnacentral:rRNA from 1 species